UACGUAGGGUGCGAGCGUUGUCCGGAAUUAUUGGGCGUAAAGAGCUCGUAGGCGGUUUGUCGCGUCUGCUGUGAAAUCCCGAGGCUCAACCUCGGGCCUGCAGUGGGUACGGGCAGACUAGAGUGCGGUAGGGGAGAUUGGAAUUCCUGGUGUAGCGGUGGAAUGCGCAGAUAUCAGGAGGAACACCGAUGGCGAAAGCAGAUCUCUGGGCCGUAACUAGACGCUGAGGAGCGAAAGCGUGGAGAGCGAACAGG
rnacentral:rRNA from 1 species